rnacentral:rRNA from 1 species
UACGAAGGGUGCAAGCGUUACUCGGAAUUACUGGGCGUAAAGCGUGUGUAGGUGGUUUUUUAAGUCCGUUGUGAAAGCCCUGGGCUCAACCUGGGAAUGGCAGUGGAUACUGGAAAGCUAGAGUGCGGUAGAGGGUAGUGGAAUUCCCGGUGUAGCAGUGAAAUGCGUAGAGAUCGGGGGGAACACCAGUGGCGAAGGCGGCUACCUGGACCAGCACUGACACUGAGGCACGAAAGCGUGGGGAGCAAACAGG